AAAAAAGCGAAAAACUGUACAUCGUUUAGCUGCCGGAGAGUGGGGGUGAGACGUAAAAUAUGUGGUGGUUUCGGAACGCAUUACGUAAUAGUUCAUCAACACGGGAAACGUGCUUAACCUAUUUUUAAUUUAUUUAUCAGAUUUGUUUAUGCCUAAUACCUGGCUACAUUUCACGUGCAAAAAUAUAGAUGCUUGAUGUCAUUAAUGUCAUUAAGAGGUAGAAAAGCAGUGGAAUACCUCAUGCACUUCCAAGGUUGGAAUCUGUCUUGGGACAAACGCUAAAAGAGAAGCUGUAAGAUGUCAAAGCGCUUAAUCGAAACGAAACAGAGCAUCAAGAACCUCGUCGUAGAGCGAGAAGCAGUGGCAGUCGAGCUGCAUCAUCUACAACCGGAAUUUCCGAAGAUGGCAGUUCAGGCCAACACGCUGAUUAUUAUACAAAAAUCGAGGACUGCGAAAGUAAGAAAAGUUUAUAAGAAUUACAUUUGUAAUUUAUAGGACAUAAACAUAGAAAAGGAUACAGAGAGUAGUUCUGAUUACAUGGGUGAAACAAGUGACGAUGAACACAGUGGGUGGUGGUAGCCAAUCUGGAGCCAGUAUGAAACCAGGCGAUGAUCUUGAUACAGAUAGCACAUUAAAACGGAUUCUAGAGCAGGAUUAUGACCUAAUGAGUAAUAAGAACAAGGUA